rnacentral:ncRNA from 1 species
ACUACCAUGGAAGUCUUUCGAAGAGAGAUAUGGUAGAUGGGCUAGAAGAGCAUGACAUUUACUGUUGUGUCGAUAUUUUCUCCUCGGACCUUGAAAAUUUAGUGGUGGGGUCACGCAAACUUCUCAACAGGCCGUACCAAUAUCCGCAGCUGGUCUCCAAGGUGAAGAGUCUCUAGUCGAUAGAAUAAUGUAGGUAAGGGAAGUCGGCAAAUUAGAUCCGUAACUUCGGGAUAAGGAUUGGCUCUGAAGAUUGAGAUAGUCGGGCUUGAUUGGGAAGCAAUAAUAUGGUUUAUGUACUCGUUCUGGGUAAAUAGAGAUUUUCGGAUCUUGUUCCUCGGAUAGCAGUUACGUAACCAAUUGUGGAACUUUCUUGCUAAAAUUUUUAAGGGAUUAUCGCAAGAUAUAUUCUUUUUAAAUUAUAACGAUUAUCAAUUAACAAUCAAUUCAGAACUGGCACGGACUUGGAGAAUCCGACUGUCUAAUUAAAACAAAGCAUUGUGAUGGCCCUAACGGGUGUUGACACAAUGUGAUUUCUGCCCAGUGCUCUGAAUGUCAAAGUGAAGAAAUUCAAGUAAGCGCGGGUAAACGGCGGGAGUAACUAUGACUCUCUUCAGUAACUAUGACAAACAUCUACGUAGCAAUUAAAAUGGGGAGAGUCAUAGAAGUGCCUAUUCUCACCUCCUCGUGGUUCCUGCUGGACAGUAGACGCGAAGGAUUGUUCCCCUCCAGACUUCCGGUCCAACCGACCUAAGGCUUAGGCGGUUGCCCGGUUUUGACGGACGGGACCUUCCGGUGUCUAUUGGCUAACGAGAAAGGCUAAGACGGUUCUUGGGGGUUGCCAGCCCUCUUGAACUUUAAUUCUGUUGGCCCGAAUCAUCAAAGAACAAAUAAUAAUGCAGAUCCUUCGUCCUCCGGCGAAGGAUACCAACUUACUUCCACUUCUACUCAUCCUAUCCCACCCGCAACCUCAUUCCAAUGCCCGUUCUGCGAAAGAGCAUUCACCACCAAAACAGGAGCAGGGGUUCACGCAAGACGCGCCCAUCCGAACGAAUUAGACCAGCGUAACGCUCGCACUGAUGUGAAACAAAGGUGGAAUCAAGAAGAAGAAUUACGCCUGGCGAGGAAAGAAGCUGAACUAAUAAUAGCUGGCGGUAUAAGAUUCAUGAACAAAGCGCUAGUGCCCUUCUUUCCGACGAGAUCUUUAGAAGCAAUUAAGAAAGCAAGACAGAAACCAUCAUAUCGCGAACACGUGGCAGGAUACGUGUCGUCGAUGUCGAACGC